UGCUUUUAACAAAGUCCUGAGAGUUGAUUUGGAACAAGAAGAAUUGGACUUGAGCCGUUAUGCUACAAUUUCACAGCCGGGUAACACUGGGUAUAAAGCAUUGUUGGAGGAAGUCAUUGAGAAAACUGUGAGGUGACCUGCAAACUGGACCUGGGGACUAGAAGGUGCCUCAUCCUCUCUCCUGUCAUUGCCCCCACAUUCUACAUUCUACCACCAUUGCCAUGUGGGAGCUGUUCCAAGGAUGUAGCCUUGAGAGAGUAAGAUGUUGUUGAGACCUCUACGUGGUAUAUAUGACUGAGCCCAGUUAAGGCCUCUCUGUAAACUUUUAAGAUUCUGGCUGGUGGAUAUGGAGAUCUAUUCAUCUAGCAACUGCCCAAGACAAGCCUCUUAAAUGAUGUCCCUGACUCACAGAUGGUGCCUGUGGCCUCUUCUGCGAUUGGAGAUGAGGGCUGUGUGUUCACAGUGAUAGCCAG